rnacentral:rRNA from 1 species
GCAAGUCGAGGGGUAACGGAAGUAGCUUGCUACUAGACGACGACCGGCGCACGGGUGAGUAACGCGUAUGUAAUCUGCCUUGUACAGAGGGAUAGCCCAGAGAAAUUUGGAUUAAUACCUCAUAGUAUUACUGAGUCGCAUGAUUUGGUAAUUAAAGCUCCGGCGGUACAAGAUGAACAUGCGUGACAUUAGCUAGUUGGUAAGGUAACGGCUUACCAAGGCUACGAUGUCUAGGGGUUCUGAGAGGAUGAUCCCCCACACUGGUACUGAGACACGGACCAGACUCCUACGGGAGGCAGCAGUGAGGAAUAUUGGUCAAUGGACGCAAGUCUGAACCAGCCAUCCCGCGUGAAGGAUGACUGCCCUAUGGGUUGUAAACUUCUUUUAUAUGCAAAUAAACCUACUUUCGUGAAAGUAGCUGAAGGUAGCAUAUGAAUAAACACC